rnacentral:rRNA from 1 species
GUGCCAGACUCCUACGGGAGGCAGCAGUGGGGGAUAUUGCACAAUGGGCGAAAGCCUGAUGCAGCGACGCCGCGUGAGGGAAGACGGUCUUCGGAUUGUAAACCUCUGUCUUUGGGGAAGAAUAGAGACGGUACCCAAAGAGGAAGCUCCGGCUAACUACGUGCCAGCAGCCGCGGUAAUACGUAGGGAGCGAGCGUUGUCCGGAAUUACUGGGUGUAAAGGGAGCGUAGGCGGGAAGCCAAGUCAGCUGUGAAAACUACGGGCUUAACCUGUAGACUGCAGUUGAAACUGGCUUUCUUGAGUGAAGUAGAGGUUGGCGGAAUUCCGAGUGUAGCGGUGAAAUGCGUAGAUAUUCGGAGAAACACCGGUGGCGAAGGCGGCCAACUGGGCUUUAACUGACGCUGAGGCUCGAAAGUGUGGGGAGCAAACAGGAUUAGAUACCCCGGUA